CUUGCUUCUCGGCUCCCUGGAGCUAAGAUCAAUGCGUAGUGUCUGUUCUUAUCAGUUUAAUCUCUUCAGUUGUGAAUGUUUUGAUAUCCUUUUGGGGGUCAUUGAAUCAGUUUUGGUUCUCAUUUUACAUCCUUUCUUUUGUAAUUAGAACUUGCAAACAAUGCUGGUGCACAAGCAGCAGAAUUCUU